GACGAACGCUGGCGGCGUGCUUAACACAUGCAAGUCGAACGGAAAGGCCCUGCAUUUGUGGGGUGCUCGAGUGGCGAACGGGUGAGUAACACGUGAGUAACCUGCCCUUGACUUUGGGAUAACUUCAGGAAACUGGGGCUAAUACCGGAUAGGAGCUCCUGCUGCAUGGUGGGGGUUGGAAAGUUUCGGCGGUUGGGGAUGGACUCGCGGCUCAUCAUCUUGUUGGUGGGGUAGUGGCUUACCAAGGCUUUGACGGGAAGCCGGCCUGAGAGGGUGACCGGCCACAUUGGGACUGAGGAGGGGGCCAGAGGGCAACGGGAGGCAGCGGUGGGGAAUAUUGCGCAAUGGGCGGAAGCCUGAUGCAGCGACGCCGCGUGGGGGAUGACGGCCUGCGGGUUGUAAACCGCUUUCGCGUGGGACGAAGCGUGAGUGACGGUAAUGGGUAAAGAAGCACCGGCUAACUACGUG
rnacentral:rRNA from 1 species